rnacentral:rRNA from 1 species
AACGCUAGCUACAGGCUUAACACAUGCAAGUCGAGGGGCAGCAUGGUCUUAGCUUGCUAAGACUGAUGGCGACCGGCGCACGGGUGAGUAACACGUAUCCAACCUGCCGUCUACUCUUGGACAGCCUUCUGAAAGGAAGAUUAAUACAAGAUGGCAUCAUGAGUCCACAUGUUCACAUGAUUAAAGGUAUUCCGGUAGACGAUGGGGAUGCGUUCCAUUAGAUAGUAGGCGGGGUAACGGCCCACCUAGUCUUCGAUGGAUAGGGGUUCUGAGAGGAAGGUCCCCCACAUUGGAACUGAGACACGGUCCAAACUCCUACGGGAGGCAGCAGUGAGGAAUAUUGGUCAAUGGGCGAGAGCCUGAACCAGCCAAGUAGCGUGAAGGAUGACUGCCCUAUGGGUUGUAAACUUCUUUUAUAAAGGAAUAAAGUCGGGUAUGCAUACCCGUUUGCAUGUACUUUAUGAAUAAGGAUCGGCUAACUCCGUGCCAGCAGCCGCGGUAAUACGGAGGAUCCGAGCGUUAUCCGGAUUUAUUGGGUUUAAAGGGAGCGUAGAUGGAUGUUUAAGUCAGUUGUGAAAGUUUGCGGCUCAACCGUAAAAUUGCAGUUGAUACUGGAUAUCUUGAGUGCAGUUGAGGCAGGCGGAAUUCGUGGUGUAGCGGUGAAAUGCUUAGAUAUCACGAAGAACUCCGAUUG